rnacentral:rRNA from 1 species
AGUUUGAUCCUGGCUCAGGAUGAACGCUAGCGGCAGGCUUAAUACAUGCAAGUCGAACGGGAUUUAGGGUAGCAAUACUUUAAUGAGAGUGGCGCACGGGUGCGUAACACGUAUGCAACCUACCUUUAACAGGAAGAUAGCCCCGGGAAAUCGGGAUUAAUAUUUCAUAACAUUGCGCUGUGGCAUCACAGUGCAAUUAAAGCUCCGGCGGUUAAAGAUGGGCAUGCGCGACAUUAGCUAGUUGGUGAGGUAACGGCUCACCAAGGCUACGAUGUCUAGGGGUCCUGAGAGGGUUAUCCCCCACACUGGUACUGAGACACGGACCAGACUCCUACGGGAGGCAGCAGUAAGGAAUAUUGGUCAAUGGGCGCAAGCCUGAACCAGCCAUGCCGCGUGCAGGAAGACGGCCCUAUGGGUUGUAAACUGCUUUUAUCAGGGAAUAAACCCUCGUACGUGUACGAGGCUGAAGGUACCUGAAGAAUAAGCAUCGGCUAACUCCGUG